rnacentral:rRNA from 1 species
GACGAACGCUGGCGGCGUGCUUAACACAUGCAAGUCGAACGGAAAGGCCCUGCUUUUGUGGGGUGCUCGAGUGGCGAACGGGUGAGUAACCCGUGAGUAACCUGCCCUUGACUUUGGGAUAACUUCAGGAAACUGGGGCUAAUACCGGAUAGGAGCUCCUGCUGCAUGGUGGGGGUUGGAAAGUUUCGGCGGUUGGGGUUGGACUCGCGGCUUAUCAGCUUGUUGGUGGGGUAGUGGCUUACCAAGGCUUUGACGGGUAGCCGGCCUGAGAGGGUGACCGGCCACACUGGGACGGGGAUACGGCCCAGACUCCUACGGGAGGCAGCAGUGGGGAAUAUUGUACAAUGGGCGGAAGCCUGAUGCAGCAACGCCGCGUGCGGGAUGACGGGCAUCGGGUUGUAAACCGCUUUCGCCUGUGACGAAGCGUGAGUGACGGUAAUGGGUAAAGAAGCACCGGCUAACUACGUG